rnacentral:rRNA from 1 species
UACGUAGGGGGCAAGCGUUGUCCGGAAUUAUUGGGCGUAAAGAGCGUGUAGGCGGUCCGGUAAGUCGGCUGUGAAAGUCCAGGGCUCAACCCUGGGAUGCCGGUCGAUACUGCCGGACUAGAGUUCGGAAGAGGCGAGUGGAAUUCCCGGUGUAGCGGUGAAAUGCUUAGAUAUGACAUAGAACACCAAUUGCGAAGGCAGCUCACUACACAGUUAUUGACGCUGAGGCACGAAAGCGUGGGGAGCAAACAGG